GAGAGAGACUGGGCCCCCGGCAAGCUGCCCUGGCUUUGUUUACAACAAAAAGCUAUUGUUUGAUGUGGUUGCGCAGCCGGCUCCAAAGCUCCCGCUCCCACAGGAUGUGCUCUGGGUAAAAUGCCAGACGGAGGCCACUGCUGGAUGCGUUCGACCUCGCCAUACUGGGACUCGCAGUCCUCCUGAGGCCUCCGGGGACUUGGGAGAAGUACAUAAAACAACAGCGGUUUGGUGUAUUUUUGUUUUCGUGUCUUUUAUGGGGGGGAAAUGUGCGAGGAGGAAUUCUGUCGCUCCACCAAACAGGUUCGGGCGGCUUCAAACGAGGGAAAAGGUACCAGAUGUGAAACUUUGAAAUUUUGUAGAUAUUUUGACAGCUCGAGUUUAUUUCUUUUCUUUUUUUUUGACCUAAAGACUCUUACAUUUGUCACCGCGUUCUUUAAAUGACACGAUCGCUGUGCGUUCUAAGUAGCGAGAGUCCUAAACUUAUUCAUUUCUCUCCCUCCCGUCGUCUCUUCCCGGGCCUCACUCGCCAAAAACAUAAUGACUUUCCCAGUUCCGUUCCCUCUUGGGGAGAUUUCUCUUUCCGCCACCAGCCGCUCUUUUCUCUGCCAGGUCUCUGCCGUCGAGCCGCACGCCACCAGAGCAACGCAAACCCUCGUUGUGUCACGACGGUCCGAUCCAAGCAAAUUCAGGCCACGUGCAGGAUGCGUCGGAGGAGCCCGCUGGCGUUCCAAGCGCUGUAUUAAUCUUUCAUCGCUCGCCCUUGGAGCGGUGUCCGGUUGAAUGCUCGGCUGGAAAUGAUGAACAAACGGCGAGACGAUGAUAUCGCGGGUGUAUCAAAAGCACAAUGGGCUUCUUUUUAAUUGCUGAAGUCGCACACGAGUAGGAAGAAAAUGGGGCUAAAAACGUUUCAGGCCACGCGGGCGAAGCGUUUCCAGGUGAGGCUCUUUAAAUGGCUGCUGAAGCUUUGUUGGUGCGUAUUUUGGCAGCGAGUCAUUUCAGAGAUUGUUUAGCUCCUCUGGUGUUGGUGCCUAUUCCCAUUUUUUCGCUUUGCAGUCACACAAAAGAAAAAAAGGUGGGAGGACCGACGGCGGCAAUCAGGACUUGGCGUCGCUCGCGAGCCUCAAAGGUCGCCUGUAACAGUAGCCGGCGUACGGCGACGACGUGCCCGCAGCAACGCUGGGAAAGCAGAGAAACAUGCGCGCGCGAGCCAAGCUCGAAAUCCCUCCUGACGAUCGCCCUUUUUCCUGCACCCAGGGCCAGAUAAAAGGGGGGGUGGGGGGGGGGGUGUUGAUGCCUCUACUGCCCCCCGGAGGCCCCCCGGCCUCACUGGCAGGAAGGCGGGAACCGUCUUCAAGGCCGCUCUUCAAGCGCAGCACUAAUAGCUCGCGUGUUACAUAAAGAACUCCCCGUUGGCCGAUGACGUGGGUUUGGAUUUUGAGUCUAACGUGAUGAUUUACUGCCUUUGGAGAAACAGGGCAUGUAGACAAGAGGUACGAGGUACAGUAAGUCCCGACUGCUUCAUGCGGGACCGAUUUAAUUUUUCAUGUCGGUGUAAGUACGGAGCAAUCGAGGCUACCUGCAAAGUCCUCGAGGAAUCCAAAGAAACAAGUCACGAACGAAUUAAAGAGGCUUUCUGUCCUUCCUGUUAAGAAGUGACGGCUCUGGCAGAGGAAUAUAGCACAAAUGAUGAGACGGGACAUAAAGGAAAAGCCACUGACACAGAGACUAUUUAAUGCCUGUUCUGUUCCUUUUUUCUUUCUCUCUGCACAAGUUUGUCACGACAGUUUACAGCCGAACGUUUCGUCUUUCAGCAGUCACGGCUGGAAUUAAUGGAGCCUUAAACACAGGCAGCUGUGAAUUUUCUGUGCUGCGGCUUGUGGCGUUGGGAAUAAUAGCUGUUGUUCUCAUACGAUGAAACAUCCCUCAUCAGCGUCGUCUUUCGCCUCGAGAACGAGGAAGCGGACGGAGAGGCGCGCGAACCCCGGCGCGACAAUCAAAUCGUUCCCGAUGAAAGAAAACAUAUAUAAAUACGCGAGGCCGAGGAGACAUCUGAUUGGCAUGUUGCGUCGGCGCUUUCAAAAACCAAUAAGGGCUAAUAAAAAUGUAUGCAACGUGUGAAGUCAUUAUGCAAACACAAAGCUUUCUGUUUCGCGGCCAACUGUCACAUGUGAAUGAUUGAUGCUCCUUCUUGUUUAUUAGAUAUCACUGACAGAAAGCACCAGCACAUUUAUUUUCUUCCAUUGAUAUGCAGCGGCUCUCUUAAUGCUUCCCGCAGCGCCGUGAUGAGUCAGGGCGAAUCUAUACGCUGAAUAUAAAUAAGAUUGCACACCCGCAGAGCCCCCCGUGGUCGCGGUGCGCCCCUCCCUCCUCAGCAGCGGGGGCCCCCGCGCCGCAGGGCCGGAAUUCUGCCAGUUUGAACUGUCGGCGACACCGAGCGGCACCUGCUGAAUCCGCCCUCCCCGACCCCCGGCGGCGCCGGUCAACAUCACCGGGAGCCCGUUCCGCUCCGUGCAUCCAGGACAGCUGGUCACGGCUGAGAAUAACCACCAUCACAAGCUUUCCACCUGCCGAUCAAUAACCCCCCCCAACCCCCAACCCGCCUGCGGUCAACCAAGUCCACGCCUGCUGGCCUUGACCCAAAGCCCCCCCGCCCUCCCCGCAUCCCUGGUUUUAAUCCCAAAUCAAACAUCUCAGUGAUCCCUGGAUGAGGUCCUCUGCCCGUGGUUCCUUGUUUAAACACUUGUAUGCCGUCAUGUUUCGGGUAAAUCAUCCACUUUUUCCAUUGUAUACGUUUCCCAAACAAUCUAAAAUAAUUGCUCUUUUCCCGGCAGAUCCGAUUUAACUGGAUUCAUGCUUUGCUGUGUCUGCGUGAACAUACAGGUGGUGGUGGGAGGGGGGCUGGGGGCGGGGGGUCAAGGGUAACCGUAGAUCAAACUACGCGCUUCGCAGGCCCGCGUGUCGGUGGGAAAGGUCAUUUCCUCAUCGACUUCUGUACCGUCUGACUUCUUCUACACCCGGAGGAGUCGCCCCCCCCCCGGACGGCCGUUAGAGGACGGACGCCACAGACGUCGGCGUUGCAGCUGAUAAAAGCUCGUAUUGAUCCACGCCGCCUCUUAGUAUUCCUCAUACAUCGCGGCUUGGCCGACCGGAGAGGUACAUCGCGUCGUUUCAGGAUCACGUUGACACGGCUUCAUAUCAGACUCGAGAAGUAUUGUUGACAUCCAGGUCGCCGCCGUCUCCCACGCGGUCGCCGUGUGUUUCUUUUUUGUUGGAAUUUAUUACAGAGGCUUUCAAGUCAAGAAAAGAAUACAGACAGCCGCCCGUGUAGCAACGACUAUAUUUGUUUUUCGGCCAUUGUACGACAAAAAAACCCCCAAAGAAUGAGCAUUGAUAUUCCCCAUUUACAUAUUUCUUUGAGCCCUUAAUUACAGUGUGUCUGUUCUGUAAAGAAAAAAAGCUUGCACAGGUGUGACAGAACAACAAUGGAGGGCAUUUUCUUGGGCGAGUGACAUUCCCGACACGUUAUUGCUCUUGUCCGACCGGCUCGUUUCCAGCCAAUGUGGGUAUUAUCCUGCAUGAGGGUGUUUGACAGCUCCAUUGCUUUUAAAACUGCGAUUAGGAUAAUUGCAUAGGAGCGCUUUUCUGCUGAAACAGAGGACAACUUGGACCAUGGCACUGGAAUUUCAAUCAGGCUCAUAUACAAGAUCUCUCCUUUCUGUACUGGAGAGGCCAAAACUUUGGCCGUGGGAAAGAAAAUUACCAUCAUGUGAAAUACAUCUGAAGUUCAGCACCACUUUGCAAAGAAUCCAAUGUCAAGCAGCAGAGAAACGCAAUAUAAGAAUAAUUGAUGAUACACAAGUCUCAAUGGAACGGCAUCCAUAUGAAACCCAAUGAUUAUGUGGGCAAAGCCUGAUUGCAAUAGCGGCCAAUGAGAAGAUGAAGAAGAAUGUGGUACAAUGUGACCUCCACCGUGACGCCUUUGAAACGCCUCUGACCUUUAAGUGAUGGCGAAAGGAAACGUAAGAGGAACACAAGUCUAAUGGACGCAGUGGAAGCGUUGAGGUGGAUUCUGACUAAAAUAACCAAAUCACGCUAUUAAACACGGCAAACAGGGUUUGCUGACUUUGGACGGAUGAUGUAUAAGGUGUAUAAACACAUGGAUGGAUGAAUGAUAGAUGGAUGAAUAGAUGAAUGGACCGACUGACAGGUGGAUGGAUGAAUGAUAGAUGGAUGAAUAGAUGAAUGGACCGACUGACAGGUGGAUGGAUGAAUGAUAGAUGGAUGAAUAGAUGGAUGGACAGACUGAUAGAUGGAUGGAUGAAUGAUAGAUGGAUGAAUACAUUAAUACAAUACAGGUACUGUCGUCCAGGCGUUGUUCCUCCGCACACAAAGCAAAGUCCGUUUAACAGCAAAAAUAAAACAGACUUUCUGAGUCUUGUGUGGAAUAAUUUGACCUCAUCCCCAUCCGGCACCUUUUGUGAUGAAGCGAAACACCGACCGCCAGCCUGGGGGGGCCGCCGUCGGCUCGCUCACCUCCCCGAUGCCCGCGAGGCCGAGCGACCGGCGUCCAAAAAACACAAACCGGUGGAGCGCCAGAAGAACGCCCGCGCCUGCAUACGGAUGGACGGAUGGAUAGCGCUUAGGUCGACGGGUUCCUUUCACAUUGCGACCGCCGUAACGUAAGACAAAGCAGCGCUUCACUCAACGAAAACACCAGAUGUUGGUGAUCCAAGCAAGCCGCUCAGCCUCGUGAACAAAAAAACGCGCGGCGAAUUGCUCAGAGCGGCGAAAGCAUCGCAUCGGAUCGACGGAUGACAAAAGUUACUGUCGCGGCGCCAAUAGACGGCGGUGGAGGUGGACGGCGGUGCUGAGAGAGGGGUUCUCACAGCGUACAAAGGGGGAGUUGUUAGUGCUCAUUGGCCCGGCGGGCUGUGCGGAGGCCCGAGGAUAAGCCUGAAGCCAGAGGGGGGGGGCGCGAGGUGAGAGCUCAGACAAUACGGCCGGGCUCUGAGGCAAAGGCAGACUACACCAGAUAAUGUGACACGCAGCAGCAUGUCGGCAACAACAAGACCCUUAUUCGCGAUGUCAGGGGCUUCGUGGGCAGAAUGAGGACGAGAGGUAGAGGCGCCGCGGCGAGAAGCAGAGCGAGCGGCAAGAAAGCUCCCGAGUGGCGUCUUAGGGCAGGUUAGCAAAGGUGCGAAGCUGCCUGCACGGAGGGUAGAUGUCGUAUUUCUUCCUGUCCGAACCCUCUGUGGGGACUGAACGGGGCGGCCGGAUCACAUAAUUGGUUCCAGGAGCGGCGAACGACGCGGGGAGGGACUCGAGCGCGCCCCCGAGAAAAAACUUGACGGUGCGAGCGAGAGAAAAGGGAGGAGAAAAAGAAAAAAAGGGAAAACAAAAUAAAUGCGAGUUGACAGUUAAAAUGGGGGACAGUUAGGCUCAGUGUUGUUACCAUGACAAAGAGAAAAAGAGCACAGUGUGCGCUCCCCGCAUGGAGGGUGAGGAGCUUUAAGCACGGAGCAGCAGGAGGCGAGGAAGUGGCACGCUGGGGGCCUCUCGCCGCGGCCGCUCGGACGCCAAAAUGCGUAGAAGCGCCUCAGCGCCUUUGUUCGAAAGCGACUCGGAUUGAAUUUGCCGCCGAGGAGACAACUAUCAAAAAGAGCAAUAGCUCCUGCGGGCGGGGGGGGGGGCCCUUCCAGGCCUGCAGGAGACAGAUUACCCCUCUGCAGGGGCCAGAAGUGACAUCAUCCGGGACUGGAAGCUGGUAGGAGGAGGAGCCAGCACGGCAAGGAGCGCGCCUCACGCAGCACCUCUGGACGGGCUUCCGGGCCGCUCGCCGUCUGCACACGUUUGACUCCGCCGCCCCGCAUCAAAAGGCCGGCGGGGUUAAUCUCGCCCCGGGGGGAGGGGGGGGGGGGUUAAUCUCGCCCCGUGGUAGCGCCCGAUCCACACAGCCGGAUCUAAUGACACGAGCACGUGAAGCUCCACGUUCCUUCUGUUCAAUACCGAGCCGGACAUCACACACACGCACCACGCACACACACACACACACACACACACACACACACACAAUAAUUGGAUAACUCUGAAUUGAGUGCAGAGUUUAGUUCCUAAAUGUGAUUCCCAGAGCAUUAAAACAUUAGGAUGCAACCUUUUAUUUUUAUUUUUAAAGGGUCUAAAGUAAAUGAUGUAAGUUGAAAUUAAAGUAAAAUGCCCUUUUCUAUUUAGAUAAAUGAAGAUAUGCGCAAUUGAAAGUGGGAAAGUGGAGAAGUAAAACCUCAAUGAAAAACACUAUUCUGCUGGAAUUAUUUCAUCAUUUUCUGCACAGCUUUAAAUAAAAGGCAGCUCACACACACAAAGGAGUGUGGGAGGAAAUAGAGAAUUAUUGAACAGGGAAAAUAGAGAAUACAUAACUAGUUAAAUGUUUAACAAUUUAUUCCCCGAAACCAACAAUAGCAUGUGUGAGUAUAAAGCUUUACUUAUCUUUAUACUCACAAUCAGUAUUUGCUUCAUAUGCACUCACACAAUUAUACUUUUUUAUAUUUUCUCUCUUUUAUUGCUGCAUCGUAUCAAUUAAAUAUCAAUUCACAAAUGCGUGUGUUUCAUGAGCGAGAGGCCACUUGCGCAGAGCGCGACUUCUCCCUGGGUUUUCUAUUAUAAUAAGUAUCAUUGCAUAAAAAGUGCCGUGCCAUCUGCUGGGCUCACGGACCCUCGUCCAAAUAUCAAUGAUUUUCCAAUAAAUCUAAAACUAAUGUUUAUCCCAAGCUGUGACACGAACAGCGGCAGUCGGGUCAUUGAGCCUGGACCCAAUUACCCGAUCAUCCAUCACCAGCCAUUGUCGGCCUCCGCAGCCUCAGAAGCAGCAACACGUGCUAUUUUGUCUUCCCCUCGGCGUUGAUAUCGCCGCUCUGGGGAAUCCACAGAAUCAGCAGCCGCCUCCGCGGCCACGUGGUCCUCACCUCUCGUUUCUUUUGCGAGCGUGACCAAACUCCAAAAGGUCCGCUGCUCCAGAAGCCCACGGUAAGUGAUCCGCACAGCAGCUGCGCCACAACACAACACAGCAGUGCAGUUGCUUUUUUUUU
ensembl:lncRNA